ACUCCUACGGGAGGGCAGCAGUGGGAAUAUUGCACAAUGGGCGCAAGCCUGAUGCAGCCAUGCCGCGUGUAUGAAGAAGGCCUUCGGGUUGUAAAGUACUUUCAGCAGUGAGGAAGGUGAGUCGUAUAGCGGCCUCAUUGAGUUAGCUGCAGAAGAAGCACCGGCUAACUCCGUGCCAGCAGCCGCGGUAAUACGGAGGGUGCAAGCGUUAAUCGGAAUUACUGGGCGUAAAGCGAGUGUAGGCGGCGACGUAAGUCGGAUGUGAAAGCCCCGGG
rnacentral:rRNA from 1 species